AUUGAACGCUGGCGGCAUGCCUAACACAUGCAAGUCGAACGGCAGCACGGUUAAGUACUUGUACUUAAUGGGUGGCGAGUGGCGAACGGGUGAGUAAUGCGCAGGAAUAUGCAUUAAAGAGGGGGAUAACUUGGGGAAACUCAAGCUAAUACCGCAUAAGCUCUGAGGAGUAAAGCUGGGGACCUUCGGGCCUGGCGCUUUAAGAAUAGCCUGCGUCCGAUUAGGUAGUUGGUAGGGUAAAGGCCUACCAAGGCGACGAUCGGUAGCUGGUCUGAGAGGAUGGACAGGCACACUGGGACUGAGACACGGCCCAGACUCCUACGGGAGGCAGCAGUGGGGAAUAUUGCACGAUGGGGGCAUCCCUGAUCCAGCAACGCCGCGUGUGUGAAGAAGGCCUGAGGGGUGUAAAGCACUUUCAGUGGGGAGGAGGAUUGGUUGGUUAAGAGCUGAUUAAUUGGACGUUACCUACAGAAGAAGCACCGGCUAACUCCGUGCCAGCCGCCGCCGUAA
rnacentral:rRNA from 1 species